UGACACAGAAAUGACAUUCAACAUCAUCACAGAAUAUUAGUGUUGGACUUUAAAAGAUCAGAGAUGUCUGAUACUAUUUAUGACAAUGUCAUUGGGACUGAGACUGAGGGAAUCAACAAAGAGAGAGUGGAGAUGAUGGUGGUUAUCUAUGAGAGUGCCGAUUGUGUGAGAGAUCAUAGGACAGAGACAAACACACACCAACCACUUCAGCAGACAGGAUCUUGUUAAGAAAAUAUCUGCUAAUGUCUGGAUUGGUCUGACUGACAGUGAUGAGGAGGGCAGGUGGAAAUGGGUUGAUGGCAGCACACUGACCUCUGUGUUCUGGAGGUCUGGAGACCCCGUGGAUAUAGAAGAGAGAACUGUGUUUUGUCUUCUACAUCAGGAUGGGCUGAUUAUCCAUGUAAUUAUGUACAUCGAUGGAUCUGUGAGAGAAACACUUUAAAAUGAUUAAAUUACAUAUAAAUCACAUUUUUUAUGCUGUAAAUUAUCAACAGAUGAAAAGGGUUUGGAUUUGUUCACGGUAAUUCAAAACAUGUCUAGUUAAACUAUAAUAGAUAAAUAGAUCUGUUCUAUUCUGUUCUAUUAAUACUUUUUUAUUUAUAUUUAAUUACUAUCUUUUUGUCCUGUGUUUGAAUGUUGGUAUCUGAUGUUGUCCACCAUUGUAAGGACAGGAAGUAGGAUGCUGUGAUGAUUUUACAUUUAACCCUUUAGCAGAUGCUUUUGUCAACUGAGGGAAAGCACAAAUCCAAUCAUUAGGCCUGGGGGACAUACUCAUGCAUUUUUGUCCCAGACCCUACCAAUAAAUGUUAAAGAGCAAGUGUUGGAAUAGUUUGUUUGGUUGCAUCUGUGUUAUUGCUGAGAAUAUAGAGACACUUUCUGUAGAUCAUGCCUGUAGACAUCGGAAAGUGACAGGAAGAUGGUGCUGCCCUUUAUAUGUCUUUCUUAUUUCAGCCACUUCCUCCUGUAACUGCUUCAGUAUCUCCAUCCACUCACCUCUCUUUGAGCAGAAACCAAUAUUUAACACUUACUUCAACCAGUGCUGAGAGGGCCAUCACAUCUGAGGUGCUUCAGUGUGCACUUCAUUCACUUUAACACCUUUACCACAUUGCAUUCUGUAUUACAGCUUUUGCUCUGUCUUGUAACAUUUCACCAAGCCGACCGUACACUUUCAGUACACGUCUGCAGGGCAACACUUUAAAAUGGGGAGCACUUAUUCACUAUUUACUACGACUUUUCCCUCAAUAAAUUCCUAAUUUGCUGCUUAUUAAUAGGUAGUUGUUAAGUUUAGGUAUUGGGUAGGAUUAGGGAAGUAGAAUAAGGUCAUAUAGAAUAAGGCAUUAAUAUGUACUUAAUUAACCUGCUGAUGCUAAUAUUGCACUGCUGUUAACUGAGGACAUCCUGACAUAUGCAUGCACAAAUAUGCUGUGCUAGACGUCUUAUUCAAGGAAAUGUUUCUUAGUGACAGAUAUCACUUAUUAGUUUCAUUGCCUCUAACAGUGUUUUCCUUGAAGGUGCAUUUUUUUUUAAAGGCACAGUAAUAUGAUUACCUUAAUCAAGUCAUUUGUAGCUUCCUUAGACAGAAAAAUCUAAACAUGAUACAAUGAGCAUUUACAACCUGAGACAGGAAAAACACAACUUUGUUUCCUAGCCAACUAGGCUAGCCAUACUUAACACUAUCACAACCUAACGUUCAUUAAAGUCUUCAGGAUCCAAAGCACAGUUAAGUGAGUUUGAUCAGGGUUUUAGCUAAACUCAAUGGCCUUUCAGAACCGAAUCUGAGGAACUCUGCUAUAAAGUGAUAAUGUAACGAAUGCGUUACUUCCAGUUUUUCAACUGUAAAAAUAGUCAUGCCCUUCUCUAGAUAUUUUGCAAAGUAUUGCCA